AUUGAACGCUGGCGGCAUGCUUUACACAUGCAAGUCGAACGGCAGCGCGGGCUUCGGCCUGGCGGCGAGUGGCGAACGGGUGAGUAAUGCAUCGGAACGUGCCCAGUUGUGGGGGGUAGCCCGGCGAAAGCCGGAUUAAUACCACAUACGACCUGCGGGUGAAAGCGGGGGACCGAAAGGCCUCGCGCUCUUGGAGCGGCCGAUGUCGGGUUAGCUAGUUGGUGGGGUAAAGGCUUACCAAGGCGACGAUCCGUAGCUGGUCUGAGAGGACGACCAGCCACACUGGGAGUGAGACACGGCCCAGACUCCUACGGGAGGCAGCAGUGGGGAAUUUGGGACAAUGGGGGCAACCCUGAUCCAGCCAGGCCGCGUGCGGGAAGAAGGCCUUCGGGUUGUAAACCGCUUUUGUUCGGGAAGAAAUCCUCUGGGCUAAUACCCCGGGGGGAUGGCGGUACCGGAAGAAGAAGCACCGGCUAACUACGUG
rnacentral:rRNA from 1 species